AACGAACGCUGGCGGCAUGCCUAACACGUGCAAGUCGAACGAGACCUUCGGGUCUAGUGGCGCACGGGUGCGUAACGCGUGGGAACCUGCCCUUAGGUUCGGAAUAACUCCCCGAAAGGGGUGCUAAUACCGGAUAAUGUCUUCGGACCAAAGAUUUAUCGCCUUUGGAUGGGCCCGCGUUGGAUUAGCUAGUUGGUAGGGUAAAAGCCUACCAAGGCGACGAUCCAUAGCUGGUCUGAGAGGAUGAUCAGCCACACUGGGACUGAGACACGGCCCAGACUCCUACGGGAGGCAGCAGUGGGGAAUAUUGGACAAUGGGCGAAAGACUGAUCCAGCAAUGCCGCGUGAGUGAUGAAGGCCUUAGGGUUGUAAAGCUCUUUUACCCGGGAUGAUAAUGACAGUACCGGGAGAAUAAGCGCCGGCUAACUCCGUG
rnacentral:rRNA from 1 species